UAACUGCGCCGGAGGCACGACCCGGCCAAUUAAGGCCAGGAGCGCAUCGCCGGCAGAAGGGACGAGCCAACCGGUGCACACCAGAGGCGGACCGAUCGACCCAACCCAAGCCGUUUCUCAGGCUCCCUCUCCGGAAUCGAACCCUAAUUCUCCGUCACCCGUCACCACCAUGGUAGGCCACUAUCCUACCAUCGAAAGUUGA